UACGUAGGGUGCGAGCGUUAAUCGGAAUUACUGGGCGUAAAGCGUGCGCAGGCGGUCUUUUAAGCCAGACGUGAAAUCCCCGGGCUUAACCUGGGAAUGGCGUUUGGGACUGGAAGGCUGGAGUGUGGCAGAGGGGGGUGGAAUUCCUGGUGUAGCAGUGAAAUGCGUAGAUAUCAGGAGGAACACCGAUGGCGAAGGCAGCCCCCUGGGCCAGCACUGACGCUCAUGCACGAAAGCGUGGGGAGCAAACAGG
rnacentral:rRNA from 1 species